rnacentral:snRNA from 1 species
GCACAUAUACAGAGAAGAUUGGCAUGGCCCCUGUGUAAGGAUGACACACGAAUUCGUGAAGUGUUCCAUACUUUU